rnacentral:lncRNA from 1 species
UCUCUCUCUCUCUCUCUCUCUCUCUCUCUCUCUCUCUCUCUCUCUCUCUCUCUCUCUCUCUCUCUCUCGCAUAGAUGACGAAGGCGAGCUCCGGUGCAUCCAUGCCCGGAGACGACGAAGAAACUCUAAUCGGAUGGAGGAAAAAGCUCCGGUGAAAUCGAGAUCUAUGUGCGUACACUAUCGUCUGCUUCUCAAUUCUUCAGAUCUCACACAGGUAACUCAUUUUUUUCUCUCAUCCUUUGUUGCUCUGAACGCAUUCGAAUUUGUGUUGACAGAUCGUGAUUUGAUCCGAAUUGCAGCAAAAUCGAAUGGAGUUAAAGAUUGCGAGAGUUCAAAUUGCGACGAGUCUCCUGACCUUAAGAUGCAGCAACAGCCUGACGACGGAGUUGAGGUUAAGGCGCCGCCGCCGCCGACCAGCAUCCACCGCUAAUUCAUCAAAGGAGGUUAAGCACAACACUUGAGAAACUCCGUUGAUGGAGCGACGUCUUUUCUCUCAUCGUCAACGGCCAGAUCUGAUCUCCAAUCUCAUUGUUCUUGUUUGAUUUUCCAAUCGUCGAAUUUGUUUACGCUAUUUAGAGCUCUUGGAUUUCAUAGUCUAUUAUCAAGUGUUUGUGCUUGUUUUGGUGUAUGAAAAGGUAAUGAUGAAAUGAAACCACACAGAUUUUCUUUUUUUCUUUUUUUUUGUUAAUCCGUGUAUCUAUAUAAUUAUGAUGAAUUAUUUGGUUAGUGUUAGUAAUGGUGGUGUGGAUGUUUUAGAUGUUCAUAGUUGCAGCAACUUGAUUUUCCAGAUUUUUGGGUUAGUAGCAGCAUUUAACGUAGUAUUGGUGAAAGUAGCUCUUGGGAUUGGAAGAGUAGGUUUUGGUGUUUGGUAGUAGCUUUUGUUGUGUUUGAUAGUAGUUUUUGUUGUUACUAGUAGUAGUUUUUCUUGCCUGCAGUAGUAACUAUUGGUUUGGGUAGUAGUAGCUAUUGGUUCAGGUAGCAGUAGCUUUAUUUGUUCGCGGUAGUAGCUUUAUUUGUCGUCGUAGCUUUAUUUACCGGUGGCAGUAGUUUUAUUUGUCGGUGGUAAUAGCUUUAUUUUGUGAUGGCAGUAGGUUUUGUUGUUGGUAGUAGUAGCUUUAGUUAUCGGCAGUAGUAGCUUUUAGUUAGUAGUUUUUGUUGUUGGUUGUAACUUUUCUUUCUGAUGGUAGUAGCUUUUGUCGCUAACAAUAGUAGCUUUUCUUUCCGGUGGUAGUAGCUUUUAUUUCCUGUGGUGGUUGUAGUAGCUUUUGUUGCCGGAAGUAGUAGCUUUUGUUGUCAGAAAUAAUAGCUUUUAUUGCCGGCAGUAGUAGCUUUAAUUACUAGCGGUAGUAGUUUUUGUUUAUAGCAUCAGUAGCUUUUGUUGCCAGAGGUAGUAGUUUUUGUUGCCGAAAGUAGUAGCUUUUGUUACCGGAAGUAGCAGCUUUUGUUACCGGAAGUAGUAGCUUUUGUUACCGGAAGUAGUAGCUUUUGUUACUGGCAGUAGUAGGUUUGAUUGCUGACUGUAGUAGUUUUUGUUGCUAGCGGUAGUAGCUUUUGUUGCUAAAGGUAGUAUCUUUUGUUGCAAUAAAUAGCUUUUGUUGUUGGUUGUAGUAGCUUUUGUAGGUAGGGAUAGUAGCUUUUGUUGCCGGUUGUAGUAACUUUUGUUGUUAGUAGAUUUUGUUUGCGGCAAUAGUAGCUUUUGUUGCUGACAGUAGUAGCUUUUAUUGCUGACGGUAGUAGCUUUUGUAGUAAGUGGUAGUAGCUUUUGUUGUUGGUUGUAAUAGUUUUUAUAGCUAAAGAUAAUAACUUUUGUUGCUAGAGGUAGUAGCUUUUGUAGUCGGUGGUAGUAGUUUUUCUAGCUAGGGAUAAUAGCUUUUCUUGCUGGCUGUAGUAUCUGAUCUUGCUGGCGGUAGUAGCUUUCGUAACUGUUGGAAACCUCGUCGGAAGUUGGCCGGAGACAUCGCCGGAGGUCGGCCGGAGUCCGUCGGAGAUCUUGCCGGAGGUCUAUCGGAGACUUUUCCAGGAAGGAGGGUGGUUGUUGACUUUUUACAUUAGUGGUAUUUUUGUAAAUAUAAGAGAAAAUCUAAUUUUUUGGUUGGAUGACAGUCUGUAAUUUAGUUGAACUUCAAUACCUUUAUUUAAGCUUGGGUGGACUUAUGUGGGUAAAAAUAUUUGGGUAGACCUUUAUAGGAUAAAAUGUCUCAAAGUGAACUUCUAUGUAAUUGGCCUUUAUUUAUACUGUUAGAUCUAAAUCUAAUGACUAUAAUUCAAUAGUCAUUCCACGUGUUUAAGUCUUUUGUAAUAAAGCUGCUGUCAUGACUGUGAAAUCCACCCGAAUUGGUCAGGUAAAACGUUGGGCAAAAAUCAGCAACUAAAUUGCUUAGGCAAGUAUAGGGACCAUACAUGUCGUGAUUGGUCCGACAAAACACUACCGUUGCAUUGAUGUUUGAUGUUUUAGCAAAAUCAGUCAAUCAGUCACCAAAUUCAUUCAUUGGUGCAUAUGCUCCAAGGAAAAACUCAUUUCUAGCACUCUCAAGAAUCUACCUCUGAAGUCUCACCCAGCCUCUGAUAUAUUAGUCCCAGUAUGAAAUGGGCAUGCGCGUUUUUCGGCAUCUUCCCCCCAACGUGAACCAUCCCUUGCCAGCAAUGCCACCAACGGAGAGUAAAAUGCUUAAACGUUACAAAGGGGUUAAACACAAAUCCUAGAAGAUCAUAGCCAUGCUUAGCAAUUUCCAAGCAAAACUUCAAUAACCAGAUUUCCCUCUACUGUUGAAUGUUACUACUGAUUCAUAAUCAUAAGAUUGGUAGCCUAGACGACUACAAUGCAUGUGCGAUUUGAAUUCGAAUAUACACCUAAUGUUCUACCUCAUGUUUUAGCAUAAUUUUAUCAGCAUGCAAUGAUGCUCUCAAA